AUGACUCGAUGCCCUGACUGCCCACGGACUGCGCCACUGAAGCGGUUGACUUCGAAGGAGGAGAAGAAUGGGAACUUUGGGCGUGAGUUCGUCAAAUGCGAGAGCAAGCCAGAGGGGCAGAUCGUGAAGAAAUGCCACCAUUUCGAGUGGAUGGAUGAUUACAUCCGGAGGCUUCAAGGGUCGGGCUUGCUGGAUUCGAGGGGGAAUGCAAUCCGCGAGUCCAAUCUGCCCCAUGACAGUGCCGCUCCGGCAGCAGCAGCGCGUCCGGAAUACCCGACGAUGGUAGAUGUCGAAUUGAAGACGGAAUUGAAGAAGAUGAACAAGAACUUCAAGCAGCUGAUUGAGUUGAAGAAGCAAUCCAAUCUGAUAGCUUUAGGAAUACUUGCUCCAGGAAUUUUUUACUUGAUGGCCAUCUCUCGUUAG
rnacentral:rRNA from 1 species